AUUGAACGCUGGCGGCAGGCUUAACACAUGCAAGUCGAGCGAGCGGCGGACGGGUGAGUAAUGUCUGGGAAACUGCCUGCUGGAGGGGGAUAACUACUGGAAACGGUAGCUAAUACCGCAUACCAUCAGAUGUGCCCAGGUGGGAUUAGCUAGUGGGUGGGGUAAUGGGUCACCUAGGCGACGAGCCCUAGCUGGUCUGAGAGGAUGACCAGCCACACUGGAACUGAGACACGGUCCAGACUCCUACGGGAGGCAGCAGGGGGGAAUAUUGGACAAUGGGCGCAAGCCUGAUGCAGCCAUGCCGCGUGUGUGAAGAAGGCCUUCGGGUUGUAAAGCACUUUAAGCGUGGAGGCGUUACUCGCAGAAGAAGCACCGGCUAACUCCGUGCCAGCCGCCGCGGUAAUAC
rnacentral:rRNA from 1 species